rnacentral:rRNA from 1 species
GACGAACGCUGGCGGCGUGCUUAACACAUGCAAGUCGAACGGAAAGGCCUGCUUUCCCUUGUGGAUUGCGGGUACUCGAGUGGCGAACGGGUGAGUAACACGUGAGUGAUCUGCCCCCAACUUGGGUAUAAGCCUGGGAAACUGGGUCUAAUUCCCGAUAGGACUGCAGGGUGGUGCCUGUGGUGGAAAACGAUUUUCUAGUGGUUGGGGAUGAGCUCGCGGCCUAUCAGCUUGUUGGUGGGGUAAUGGCCUACCAAGGCGGCGACGGGUAGCCGGCCUGAGAUGGGGGACGGCCACAUUGGGACUGAGAUACGGCCCAGACUCCUACGGGAGGCAGCAGUGGGGAAUAUUGCACAAUGGGCGGAAGCCUGAUGCAGCGACGCCGCGUGGGGGAUGACGGCCUUCGGGUUGUAAACUCCUUUCGACCGCGAGGAAGCCACCUGGUUGGAAGGGUGGUGACGGUAGUGGUAGAAGAAGCACCGGCUAACUACGUG